UCCGAUCCAGGGGUUCGGGGGGUUUAUAUAUAGAAUAACAGGUCCCCAGGAGUGGGUCACAGGCUGGGAUCUGAUCCAGGGGUUCGGGGGGUUUAUAUAUAGAAUAACAGGUCCCCGGGAGUGGGUCACAGGCUGGGAUCUGAUCCAGGGGUUCGGGGGGUUUAUAUAUAGAAUAACAGCUCCCCGGGAGUGGGUUACAGGCUGGGAUCUGAUCCAGGGGUUCGGGGGGUUUAUAUAUAGAAUAACAGGUCCCCGGGAGUGGGUUACAGGCUGGGAUCUGAUCCAGGGGUUCGGGGGGUUUAUAUAUAGAAUAACAGGUCCCCGGGAGUGGGUUACAGGCUGGGAUCUGAUCCAGGGGUUCGGGGGGUUUAUAUAUAGAAUAACAGGUCCCCGGGAGUGGGUUAGAGGCUGGGGUCUGAUCCAGGGGUUCGGGGGGUUUAUAUAUAGAAUAACAGGUCCCAUGGAGUGGGUUACAGGCUGGGAUCUGAUCCAGGGGUUCGGGGGGUUUAUAUAUAGAAUAACAG